rnacentral:SRP_RNA from 1 species
GCCGGGCGCAGUGGCAUGUGCCUGUAGUCCCAGCUACUAGGGAGGCUGAGGCUGGAGGAUCGCUUGAGCCCAGGAGUUCUGGGCUGUAGUGCGCUAUGCCGAUUGGGUGUCCUCAGCAUCAAUAUGGUGACCUCCCGGGAGCAGAGGACCACCAGGUUGCCUAAGGAGGGGUGAACCGGCCCAGGUCGGAAAUGGAGCAGGUCAAAACUCCUGGGCUGAUCAGCAGUGGGAUUGCACCUGUGAAUAGCCACUGCACUCCAGCCUGGGCAACAUAGCAAGACCCCAUCUCUA